CCUACGGGAGGCAGCAGUAGGGAAUCUUCCGCAAUGGACGAAAGUCUGACGGAGCAACGCCGCGUGAGCGAUGAAGGCCUUCGGGUCGUAAAGCUCUGUUGUUAGGGAAGAACAAGUACCGUUCGAAUAGGGCGGUACCUUGACGGUACCUAACCAGAAAGCCACGGCUAACUACGUGCCAGCAGCCGCGGUAAUACGUAGGUGGCAAGCGUUAUCCGGAAUUAUUGGGCGUAAAGCGCGCGCAGGCGGUCCUUUAAGUCUGAUGUGAAAGCCCACGGCUCAACCGUGGAGGGUCAUUGGAAACUGGGGGACUUGAGUGCAGAAGAGGAGAGCGGAAUUCCACGUGUAGCGGUGAAAUGCGUAGAGAUGUGGAGGAACACCAGUGGCGAAGGCGGCUCUCUGGUCUGUAACUGACGCUGAGGCGCGAAAGCGUGGGGAGCGAACAGGAUUAGAUACCCUGGUAGUCCACGCCGUAAACGAUGAGUGCUAAGUGUUAAGAGGGUUUCCGCCCUUUAGUGCUGCAGCAACGCAUUAAGCACUCCGCCUGGGGGAGUACCGGUCGCAAGACUGAAACUCAAAUGAAUUGACGGGG
rnacentral:rRNA from 1 species